rnacentral:misc_RNA from 1 species
UCAAACUUGGUCAUUUAGAGGAAGUAAAAGUCGUAACAAGGUUUCCGUAGGUGAACCUGCGGAAGGAUCAUUCAUAAUAAAAGUGAAAUAAAUUAUGGCACUUUUAAAACAAUCCAUAUCCACCUUGUGUGCAAUGUUUUUUUAUAUCAACUCUUUUAAAUACAAAUUGAUCUGAAAUUAUUUUAUAUGAAUACUUAAUUCAAAAAUAUAACUUUCAACAACGGAUCUCUUGGCUCUCGCAUCGAUGAAGAACGCAGC